GACGAACGCUGGCGGCGUGCUUAACACAUGCAAGUCGAACGGAAAGGCCCUGCUUUUGUGGGGUGCUCGAGUGGCGAACGGGUGAGUAACACGUGAGUAACCUGCCCUUGACUUUGGGAUAACUUCAGGAAACUGGGGCUAAUACCGGAUAGGAGCUCCUGCUGCAUGGUGGGGGUUGGAAAGUUUCGGCGGUUGGGGAUGGACUCGCGGCUUAUCAGCUUGUUGGUGGGGUAGUGGCUUACCAAGGCUUUGACGGGUAGCCGGCCUGAGAGGGUGACCGGCCACAUUGGGACUGAGAUACGGCCCAGACUCCUACGGGAGGCAGCAGGCGGGAAUAUUGCACAAUGGGCGGAAGCCUGAUGCAGCAACGCCGCGUGCGGGAUGACGGCCUUCGGGUUGUAAACCGCUUUCGCCUGUGACGAAGCGUGAGUGACGGUAAUGGGUAAAGAAGCACCGGCUAACUACGUG
rnacentral:rRNA from 1 species